rnacentral:lncRNA from 1 species
CUGUCACCGGCCGGUCCCCCCGGCCGUCCCCGCCCGCCUCCCCCUGUCUCUUUCCAUCUCCCGGUCUCCGCGGCGUUUCUCUGCCUCCUUCCUCGCCUCUCCCGGCCUCUCUGGCUGUCCCCGGCUCUCUUCCUCACUGCCUCUCUCUUUUUCUCUUACCCCUCUCUCCUCGGCUGCUCUCACCACUUCCUCCCUCCCUCUCCGGCUUCCUUCUACCUCCCCUCACUCUCCCCCCUUUCUCGCCUUGCUCAGGGGGACUCGCUAUCUCUUUCUCUGUCUCUCCUUGGAACAGCGGCCCCCAAAAUGCAACUGAAGCCAUUUCCCUGCUCUGAGACCUCGGACAAGUCACUCCCCGCCAGGGCUGCAGUUUCCUGUCUCUAAAAGGAGUUGAUGAGCAGCUCUAGGUGGGGUGGCGAUGGGGGACGCAGGAGGUGCCCCGUGCCUGUGGUCCCCUGUUGAAGUUCACGCCUCCUCAAAUGCAGCGGCCACCCAGCGCUCGCUGGGUGCCAUGUGUGCCCCACAAAACACCUUUCCUCAGCCUCGAGGACAAGUACCAGAGGCCAGUUCCGCGGGAAAAGUUAAUGGUGGUUUCCUCCAGGGUCCCUAAAGCCCCUCCUGAAAAGUGACUGUGGUUCCCCUCCCCCUGUCCUCAGGUUUUGAGUGGGCACAACCUAAGCUGGAUCUGAUAGGCCCUGUCACCUGCUGGUUCCUCCCUGGUUGACACCAAGCAGAGGGGCAAUGCUCUCUCGCUGUCCUUAGACCCAAGCAGGAGAAAAAUCUACCCUCCCUCCUUCCCUCCCCAUUCCCCAUCACACCAUGAUUGGCUUUUAAGCUUCAGGGAUGUUUCCCGGACCGAGUGUGGCUUCAGAGUCAGAGAGAUGUGAGUUCAAGACCACUUGCUUAGGUAAGUCACACUGCUCCAAGUUUCAGUUUCUUCAUCUGUGAAAUGGGAGCAAUAACCACCUCUUUUUCAGGAUUGCCAUUGAGAUCAUUCGUGGAAUCCAUAAAGUGCCCAGCCCACAGGUUAUUUAUUCUGUCCAGCUUUUAUUCAAGCUUUUUGCUUAGCACUGAGGAAACAGCAAUUCACGAGGCAGGCAUGGUCUCUGCCUUCAUGCAACUUGCAUUCUAGGAGGCAGACAGACUGUGGACAGCAAUUACAGAAUUUCAUGACAGUUAUACAAGUGCCAUGGAACAUAUAGAGUACGAUAAGACCAGAUAUCCAGGGAAACUGACCUGGUCUGGGGCUCAGGAAGGCCUUUCCCAAAGUGUGAUGACAUCGAAGCUGAGACCUGAAGUCAAUUGGGGCACCAGGAUUGCAGUUGGUAGGAAGUGGGCAGGGGGUGCUAAAAGAGGUGGUGGAGGGAGAGCGUUCCUGGCACGAGGGAGCAAGGCCAGCGCGAAAGCCGGAGUGGCCGGUGUGGGGUGGGGAGCGGGAUGAGGCUGCAGAGGUGGGCGGGGCCAGGCGUGGGCAGGCAGUGUCUUGUAGGCUGUGCUGGGAAGUCCCGGCCUCAGCGCACAGAAACUGCUCUCAUGAACCCUCAACCACAUGAGUCCCGAUUUCCCCUUUUCUGAGCUGGAAGGAAGAAGCCAGGCCAGCAUGCAGACUCAUUCUUUGCCUUUGGUUAUUCCUGGGGGCUGCCAUCUCUUGUCCUCUCCUUUGCUAUGUCCCAGCACUGUGCACCCAAAGAUGUCAUUGCCUACUAUGACAGCCAUGCCCCCACCCGAGGGCCUCCCUGGCAGCACACACUCAGGCUUGGUUUCUGUUUGUGCCCUUAAAGUCAGGCCCACAGGAGGCAUCGUCCUUGGCCACUGAUCCCCUGUUGUGUGCCAGGCCCUGUGCUGGGCAUGGCCCCUGUCCUCACAAAGCACUCCUUUUUCUGGGAAGACACUUUUGAGCACACAGGGAUGCAAUGACCAUGAUGAAGGAGUCUCAUGGGGGACCUGAGGCAUGGGGCUGGAAGCUCUUUGAGGGCAGGUCCAUCGUGUGUUUUCUCACCUCGCAUCAUCAUCAGGGUGUGGCACUGUGCCUGGCACCAAGGCAGACACUCAGAAACACGUAUUUGGAGGAUGAAAAAGAAAAGUGGAGUUUAAACAUAGAAGGAUGAAGGCUCAGUAGGAGCUCAGAGAGCCACAAGAAAGGGGGAGGAGACCUGCCUCUGAAGCUCUCGCUAGGGUCCAGAGGGGUUGCGUCACAGGCUUGAGGUCACACAGCCAGUAAGAGCCUGCGCCCGGAUUUGAACCCUGGUCCGCCUGCUCCUCUUUACUAAAAGGAGGAAGCAAAAGAGGAGGAGAAGGCAGAGGAAGGCGACGACUGAGAACAAAAGAAGAGCAGUGGCAAAGGAGUGGCUUUUGUGGACAAGAUGCGACCACCUCAUGAGGAUCAAGAUGUACUCCUUGCUCUUCUCUGCACAGCAGUCUCAAAACUAGGCUACACCGUCUGUCUCCUCUGGUCACCAUUUUGAGAGGCAGCAAGGGUCUUCCUAACCCUCAGCUCCCUCUGAUUUUUGGAAUUCAGAUUUGGAUUUUGGAUGUACAUCAAGAGGCUGGCUCCACGCAUUUUAAUUAAGUUGUCUUUUUUCAUUUAUUACUAAUACACUCCUCUUAACUAUGAUUUAUUGGUUAAACAAAGCACCAUAAGCCGUCACUUAUUCAUCUUAAUUUCAACAAAAUUAAAGUAGUCGCUGUUAGAUUGCACCUAAUUGCACUUGCAAUGAAAAGAACGGAGAUGUUAAUCAAAAUAAAUUGAAGAUAAACAAUAAAAUCAUUACAUCUUUGCGGU